GACGAACGCUGGCGGCGUGCUUAACACAUGCAAGUCGAACGGAAAGGCCCUGCUUUUGUGGGGUGCUCGAGUGGCGAACGGUGAGAAACCCGUGAAUUACCCGUCCUUGUCUUUGGGAAAACCUUAAGAAACUGGGGCCUACUCCGGACAGGAGGUGCUGCCGCAUGGGGGGGGUUGGAAAGUUUCGGCGGGUGGGGAUGGACUCGCGGCUUAUCAGCUUGUUGGUGGGGUAGUGGCUUACCAAGGCUUUGACGGGUAGCCGGCCUGAGAGGGUGACCGGCCACAUUGGGACUGAGAUACGGCCCAGACUCCUACGGGAGGCAGCAGUGGGGAAUAUUGCACAAUGGGCGGAAGCCUGAUGCAGCAACGCCGCGUGUGGGAUGACGGCCUUCGGGUUGUAAACCGCUUUCGCCUGUGACGAAGCGUGAGUGACGGUAAUGGGUAAAGAAGCACCGGCUAACUACGUG
rnacentral:rRNA from 1 species